CAAAUAGUUCCACUUUGUAAUGGUGUGUUAUAAUAGUCAAAAUAAUAAUAUAAGAAAACAGGUUUAUAUGGCACUUGAACAUGGUCUUUUCAAUGAGUAUGUAAAGGUAAGUUUAUACUUCAAAAAGGUCUGUUUUUAACCUGACAAGAAUUUCGUCCAAAAUUAACUAAAACUCAAUCUUUGUGACCUUUCAAUGAAAUUUCAUAAGUUCAAUCAGCAACUGCUACUACUGUAUAUGUCUUUUGAUGUCUGUGUUUGGUUUGCUUUAAUGUUGAUACCAGAAAUUGAUGAAAAUGCAAUAUAAUAUUUUGUUUGUUGAGAUCUGAGGAUUGUAUGGAAACUGGAGGACUUUGAUCAAAACUGUUUGUCUACUUUUGAGUUAACAAAGUAUACCCAUGCAAAACUUAGUUUCUGUUUUUUUUUAUUAUGCAACACAAUAAGCUGUUUCCUAAUUGAAAAUUACCUUUUGGUUUUGACCAAUAUAAAGAAAAGUGUAAAAAAAAUUUUAUGAACAUUUGAAAGUUUGGUUCAACCACAUUUUGUAAUUGUGUAUUUCGCUACAUGUUUUGCAUCAAAAACAUUUCCUGAAGUGUUUUUUUUUCUAUUAUAAAUAAUAUAAAACCGGAGAACUUUUCCCUAGGUGAAAUUUAGGAGAUGUUUGUAGUGGAUCAAUGUGUGUCAUUUUAUUAUAUUUAUCAAGGACGAGAAAUGUAGCAUUUUCUUAAGCAAAGCAAAUUGAAACCGAAUUUUUGAUCGAAAAAUCAAUCAGAAUUGAAGAAAUAAUAACAUUCUUUUAAAAUUUUAUUGAACUGCAUUUUCAUCAUUGAAUUAGUAUUAACAUUUUAUAUAAUCAAUUCAAAAUUGUCAGGUUAAAAACGACGCUCAAAGAUAUAUGGCUCCAAAAGACUGCGGGAUAAUUUCAAAUUCUUAAAUUCUUGAUUUGGCACUUGAAAGAAAUUUAUAUAUGUUCAAUUGAGUAUGGAACCAAUGAUCUAGUCGUAAUGUUUCGAUGUUUAAAAAUGUUAUUUCUGAGUUUAAUGAAGUAUGCUGUCGAUGCAUUGUCAAAAUGUUAAGGCACUUUAAAGGAAAUUAAUUUUCUUCAAGCAAUGGAAUUGGUUGUCAACGAGAAUGUCUUGCCAACCACGUGACAACUGAUCUCGCAUUACAAUGAAUGGUCUUCACUUUGCAUCUAAACAUCGCGAUAAACUAAUGAUUCUCCAUACUCAAGCGAAAAGUUUGGUCACUUUACCAAAAACAGCAAAAGCGUGUUCGAUUUACUUUGUCUUUGAGCCAUAUAUUUUAUUUGUAAAACAACCUGGUGUUACGCUUUUCAUUUCUCCAUCACUCCUAAAAUUUAUCAUUAGAGUUGUUUUACAAUAUUUGAAGUAUAAACAUUUAUCUUGAAAAGACCAGGUUCUCUUGUUUCCUCAAGAAUUAACUCUUUUGAUGUUAAUUCGCGGGCAAACAAGUUUUUUAAUGUUGUGUUUUCACUUGUGCUUAUUCACUUGUGUGGAACACAAUGUUAAUUGUUCUCUUUGUGCCAUGUUCUGUUUUCUUCUAUUGUUAUUUAAAUAAGUACAGUAUGCAGUGGUUGUUCUCUUUUUAUUAUUAUUCAAAUUGUAAAAUUACAAAUUCUUUUCAAUAAAUUGUUCAUUAAUUAUACAAGAGACUCCUUUUUAAUUCAAAAUUCAAUUCCCAUGGGAAUUGAAAAAAAAAAUAAAAAAAAUCCCUCUACCCCGGCCGGCUCCCCAAGUGCUACCUCCACUUCAAGCAGAAGCACUUCUACAAUAUAGUAGAAGUACUUCUACUUAAAGUAGAGGUAGCACUCGGAGAGCCAGCCGGGGUAGCGGGGCGAAGAAAAGACCAACCUUGCAAAUAUGCUAAUGCAAAUUGCUAAGUUGAUCUUCUCUUGAGAGCAGCCACGCGCAUACCUAGCAAAUGUAAAACAACAAGCAUUAGUAACAAAUACUCGACAUGCAAAUUUUGAAUCCCAUGGCCGAAAUAUGACAAGUGCCCCCCACUAAUUCCUACCAACUGCCUCAAUCCUAAGCUGUCUGCCUCGGUCCUAAGCUGUCUGCCUCGUUCCUAAGCUACCUGCAUUCCAUUCGUAACUUCCGCUUUCCUCACCAUCACACAGACACUCACAACUGCCCAACCUGCCACCACCCGAACUUCCCACCCUUAAAACUGAAGGAAUUAAAAUUUUGGUAAAUUUAAUUAAUCGGAUUUUUUAGGCCAAACGUAUACAAAGGUUGACAGUCAGAAGAAAGACCGCGUAUACAAACAGGUGAGUUCCUUACUAGACUCUAUACAUGAAAUUUACACAGAAAAAUAUACCAAACCUCGAAAUCCCGAUUUUUUCUUCUAUAUGCUUUACUAGCAGACGACAAAUUUUGGUGAUGUUAGGAAAUUAGUCCUUUUGUUCAGAAAAGAUAUAUUUUCUCUUUAAAUAUACAAAAUUUUAAUUCCUUUAGUUUAACGUAACCCCAUGCAUCUUAUACACACGGCGCACACUCUCACACUCCAUACAUUUAGCUAAUAAAUUACGUUAUAAACAAAAAAGCAAAAUAAAAAGAUAAAUUACGUUAUCACUAGCUACCUUAUAACCCACUUAGACUGAGUUUUGGAUUCUGGUUCGAAACGUAAAAUCUUAACUGAAAGGGCAUGGGCUUGAGUUUUGUUAACUGGUCCGAAGUAAAUACAAACCUUAAACUUACCUAAACCAAAGGCUCGAUUAAAUAAGCAUGAG